UGGGGCGUCGCCAAGCGGCCAGGCACCGGGUUUUGAUCCCGGCAUACGUAGGUUCGAAUCCUACCGCCCCAGCCA
rnacentral:tRNA from 1 species